AAUAGAUACCCCGGUAGUCCACGCCGUAAACGAUGUCUACUAGCCGUUGGGUCCUUGAGGCCUUAGUGGCGCAGCUAACGCACUAAGUAGACCGCCUGGGGAGUACGGUCGCAAGAUUAAAACUCAAAUGAAUUGACGGGGGGCCCGCACAAGCGGUGGAGCAUGUGGUUUAAUUCGACGCAACACGAAGAACCUUACCAGGUCUUGACAUCCUAGAAACUUUCCAGAGAUGGAUGGGUGCCUUCGGGAAUCUAGAGACAGGUGCUGCAUGGCUGUCGUCAGCUCGUGUCGUGAGAUGUUGGGUUAAGUCCCGUAACGAGCGCAACCCUUGUCCUUAGUUGCCAGCGAGUAAUGUCGGGAACUCUAAGGAGACUGCCGGUGACAAACCGGAGAAGGUGGGGACGACGUCAAGUCAUCAUGGCCCUUAGACCUGGGCUACACACGUGCUACAAUGGGGCGCACAAAGGGUUGCCAAGCCGCGAGGUGGAGCUAAUCCCAUAAAAACGUCUCGUAGUCCGGAUUGGAGUCUGCAACUCGACUCC
rnacentral:rRNA from 1 species